rnacentral:sRNA from 1 species
UCAGAGGUCAGAUCUCCCACAACUGGAGUUACAAGUGGUUAUAAACCACCAUCUUCUCUACUUUUUUAUAGCAUUUAAUUUGUUUUUAUCGUGUAUGUGCAUUGAGGUGUGGGAUGGUGGCCAGAACAGGAUCCCAAACCUCCAAGUUCUUAGUUGGGUGCCUUCUGUGUAUGACUGGUCAUGUAGAAAGCUCUGGAUUGACUGCUUUACGAAUUUUAAAGGUCCAGAAAAGAGACCGAGCCACAACAGGCAAGAAUAGUCAAUCAGGAGCUCUUAACUUCACCCAGGAGAAACAGGGUUUCCUAGAUGCAUCAUUUGCCAGGACAAGGCUGAGACCAAUGCAAUAGGUAAGAAGGAGCCCCAGGUUAGGCACAAGAAAAGGGGGGUACAGUUCUCCUGGUUAUGCUUUUGCUCCUGUCCCCCUCCCUCCCUCUCCAGCUAGAGUGUAUCCCAUGCUCCUCUUUCUUCUCAACUGAUCAGUAGACAAAGGGUCUGCUCAGGCCAUUGUCACUGGACUCGAGUUUCUGCUGGUGGUAAGCAGUAUCCCUUGGGACAACGUGGGGGAAUACAGUAUUUACUGUGGAACUGUGUGACAGAGACAUAUUCAUUCCCAUCCCCUCAGGGGCACAUCUGAACUCUUUCUGGCAUAUGGCUCAGGUAGUCACACUCUUCACAUUCUGCGGAGUAGAAAGAUAAGAAUGCAGUGAGUUGCCGUCCCCGCCCCCACCCCGUGUACUCACAGUGCACACUGUGGGGGCCUCCCACGCCUCAACUUCCCAAGGAGCAAGAUCGUGAUAAUAGAGGCCAAGUUAGCAACAAUAACAACUGCCAUAAUGGUAAUGAAGGCCACCCAGGAAUGAGUUGAUCACUUCUGGGUUAUAGCCAAGUCUUUCGGAAACGUACAUAGACUAUGACCAGAACUCGGAUGACCCGCAAACCUUGGAUGAUGAUACAUUGUUGUGUUGUACAUUUGGCUGCCCUGAAUGGAAAUUAUGUAGGCUGAACACGUACUGACUGGUGGCAUCGUUUUUUCCCCUUCAGUACUUGAUAGGUAUCAGGCUCCCUCCUUUCAGUAGCUUGUUGGAUAUAAUCCACAACCGAGGCACAGUUAUCAACAUGUCGGCUUUACACCUGAAGAUGCUUUCAAUGCCUUAGAUGACUUGCUCUGGUAGGGAUAGGAAGCAGGUUGUUUAUUUCUCACUGAAACAUUGUUUCCUUCUCUUUUUCUGUGGGUCUCGAGGGACAGGCUCCAGGUUACUUCGAUAAAGAGAAAAAUCCAGUAAUGUUGGUCUAUUAUGACGCAAAUCUCUGUCUCACUUAAUUUAGGCUAAGUGUCCUGGGUCUCACCUCCUUUUAUGCACUUAUUGGACAUCAGGAACAGAACCCAGAGACCUGCAAGGCAAGCCACUGCUUUAUAAUUCCAGGCUGGUCUCUCGCUUCCAAAUAAUUUGUAGCUGCUUAUUGAGUGGAUGUAUUCCCACUGUCAGGGAAGGUGUUUUGUUUCUUCUAGACUAUCAGGAAACAGAUCUCUACUGAAAGCUUCCCCCCUCCACUCCCCACGAAAGUACCCAAAAGAGAUAAAAAUAAAUCCCCCCAAAAAGAAAUAAUCAUCCGUAUUUUCAAGGCAUUUUUUUAUAACAAUGAAUAUGUAUUGUUUAGCCGUCAGAUACAAAGCCCGCUUUGUCGGUAACUGAAAGCAGAAGACUAUCAGCCCGAUGGCAGCAAAGCAGCAUCUCGGAGCACAGUCUCCGAUUCCGUUUCUCAGGUUCCCAUUUCGGCUGGCACUCUGAGGACGCCAGCACCACUGCUGUGUCUUCCAAACAGGUACAAAGCCCCGUCUCACACACAUUAUCACUCACUGGUUACACAUGGGAACAGAGCCUGGCUGAGUUAGGGCUGGGAAUAUUAGAAUAGAAAGUAGGAGAGAUCUGUCCUCUGGCCUUGGGAGUAGCUUUGAAGGUCAAAGUAGCUAUGGGUUUCCCUUCCCUACCCACAUGGACUUGGAAAUCUCCUGGCUUUCAGAGAAGGGAAGAGGGGAGAGGGGGAGGAGAGGGAAGGGAAGAGAACAAAAGGUGAAGGAUUAGGAAAACGAAGAGAACGGGAGAUAAGCUACAAAAUUGGUUGAAACACAUAUGAAUACUACUCCAGGGUGACGAUUUUGAAUUGUAAGGUGUUUUCUAUCCACGGUCAGACAUCACUACUUGUGAAGUCAGUCACAGGGUUCUGAGGUUUCUGAUGGUCUAAAACGAUGGUCCCAGAGACACAGUGUCUUGUUCACCUCGACAACACAGACUAGUGAGAAGUUUUGCCUUCAUGAGGUGAGCCAGCCCAGUGGUGAUGCCUUCAGACUGUAGCAGGUUAGUGGAAAUUUGAGAUAUAAUGGGGGACCUUGACAGCAUUCUCACCAUGUCAGGAAGCCUGGGGGCAGAUGAACCGUGCAGGCAGCCGAGGCACAGUUAUCAACAUGUUGGCUUUACACCUGAAGAUGCUUUCAAUGUGUAUAAGAGCACAUCAUUAGGGGAGACAAGCUGCCCUCAGAGGGGCUAGACAUUUCUCUUUAGGAUCCAAAAGGUUCUGUUAGGAUCCUGGUUCUGUAAGUCAUUUGGGCAUUUCCAUUCGGCUCUAUCUUUCAAGGAACUUUGUCACAUCUUCCUAGAGACUUGAAGAGUCCAGGGGCCUUCUCCCACAGACAUCCUGGACAGCUCUUCACCACUGCCAGACCAGGUUAAAAACCUGAGUCACCAACAUCCCAGGAAUGGACGCAGUUCUUGGUCACAUCCUGUCCUCUGAUAGGAGGAAAGAGGGUCUGGGUGCUUCUAGCAAUGUCUGGUUAGGAUUCCUCUGGCUUCAGAAACAGUCCACCUUGCCUAGAUGUCUUAUCUAUCUUUAUUCCUGGUCUUGCUUAGCCCCUGGGGUUUUUGAUCAGGAAGUGAAAGAUUCAUAGGAUUUUUAACUCAUGGUCAAAUAUACACAGCAUAAAGUUUAGCACUUUAACUGUUUUUCUAUGCAAAUAUUGUUUUCUUGUAGUUAAAUUCAACCAAUAAUUAAUUUAACAUUUGCAUGGCUGUUUAUAAGUAAGUUCUGUCCACACUUUUUACUGUGGUGCCAUCUCUCUUCCGUUCACAAGCUUCUCCUUUUUGUUUCUUUUUCUAUAUUUUUUUUAAACUGUGGUAUUGUGAUGGUUAGUCUAACAGCCAACUUAAUACAACAUAGAGUCACCUGGGAAGAGGGCACCAAAGACUUGUCUAAAUUGGGUUGGUGUGUGGAUGCGUCUUUAGGGGACUUUCUUAAGUAAGUUGAUUGAUGUGGAAAGAUCCAGCCACCACGGGUCUCAAGGCAAGGGGUCCUAUGAUGGACAGCAGUGAAGACAUUUACCUUAUUUAUCGUAGCACAAACAGGCAGGUGACCAACGUGCAUGAGUUGAUUUCUUUCUGCUUUUGACUGAGGAUGUACUGGGACCAGCUCUUUGAAGUUCCUGCCUUGAUUUCCCCACAAUGACAGACCAUAACCUAGACUUGGGAACUGAAGUCAAAGCAUUCUUUUUUCUGCCCUAAGUAGCUUUUUGUCAGGAUAUUUUGUCACUGCAACAAAAAUAUAACCAGAGUAGUUACAAACCACGCAAUUUAAAAUCGACCAUUUUGACCAUUUUUAAGUGAGCUUUAGAAGCAGCAAGUGUAAUCAACAUUGUCAUCGAGUGAAUUUCUAGAGUGUCUUCGUUAUGCAAUCCUGAUGCUCCAUUCAUUAAACAACUCCCUGUCCCCUCCCACAAAUCCCCAGCAGGCACUGCUUCCGUGGCUCCGUCUCUGUUACUACCCAGAGAACGUUUUCUGUGAAUGAAGUCAAGGCAGUAUUUGUCUUUCUUCGGCUGGUUCCUUUCAGUUAGCACAAUGUCUUUGAGGUUUACCCAUGGCGUAGUUCAUCAGAACAUCCUUCCUUUCUAAUGCCCUGCGUAUACACCACGCUAACACGUCUAUCCAUCUGUCAAUCUCCCAACUCCUAGUUAUUGGAAUGGUUCCGCUACGGAUGGACAGGCACAGACAUGUGGUAGCCGUCGCUCCACACGGAGGCACAUUCACAGCAACAAGAAUGCAGCGGACUGAGAUUAAUCACGUGAGUCUGAAUUCCAUCGUCAGAGAUGGCUGCUACAGUGGCAUCCAGGCCAUGCCAGAGGAAAGUAGGGCACUCACUAGGGUGACUGGCGUCUCACAGGGUUCUUUCUGGUUAGUCUAGGCGAGUUAGGCCGGCAGAACCAUCCGUGGAGGGGUUAUAAUCACAGCCACAAAUGACAAAGUCUGCCGUUUUACACGGAGGUCUUACCUCCAGGCUCAUGUUUCCCAUGCAGGUCCAAUUAUGCUACUGGAGCCUGGUGAGGUGGGGCCAGCGAAGUGGUCUUCUGGCAAACGUUCCCCCACCAACCUUGAUUCCCCUCACUACUCCUGAAAUGCCCCCCUCUUUUCUCCGGGGUGCUAAAGUUUCCGGCUGUAUUGGUGGUGGGGGGAGUAAAAUGCUUCUGGGUUUAUCGGAGUUCAUCAGACUGUCGAACAGCAGGCGCCGGGCUGCCAGCAUCCCCUCGACUUGAAUUUCAUCCCGUUUUCUCUGAUUAACACCUCCCAGACCUCCCUUUCUGCCUCCGCAUAAUAAACUCCAUUCUUCACCAGCAGGCUGGGAACAGCAGACGGUGUGAUGUGGGCACGAAUUGUGAUCUGUCCCGCACAGGGUCAGAGAACCCAGGACUCCACUAACUGGUCUCCAUCACGUGGCUUCCCAGAAGCCACCAGAUAAAUCGCCCGGCUGCAAACGGAGUGCAGUAAGAUUGUUGCGUCUGGAUUAUGCCCUGAUAGUCUAACACCAUGGAAAGCAUACCUUGCCUGGCGUCAGUAUAUGCCACUCUUCCUUGAAACGCAACUGUCUGCUCCUUGGGCCAGUUUCCUGACAGGCCCCUUGUCCUUCUCUUCUAGUCGCCCCUCCUCUGUGCUCAGACAGCAGCCUCCAGCAAAGUUUUCAACUGUUAUGGCUCCUCUGUUGUCCUUCCUCCUGUGCACUCUGCUAAUGUCCUGUUCUCUUAGCUGUGAGCCCUGCUGAGCUAGGGACAUGGUUCUCUGGUGAUUCCUCAAGCCUGGCACAGGGGAGCUCUAAAUGUGUCGGGGAUGGUAAAAGAGACUCUCCUAUUCACCCCUGAGCGGCUCGGGAAGACUCUUCACCUGAAGGCAGAAGAUGGCGUCAGUGGUAGAAUGUUUGCCCAGCUCCAUGCAGCACCCUGAGAUGGAGACUAAGCAUUGAGAAAAGCCAGGGGAAAGAAACCUACAGUAAAAGACAAAGAUGGGGGCCAGGGCGAUGACUAGGAUGGGAUUUGAUCCCCAGAAAUCCAUGUGACGUAGUCAAUGGGGCGGCACAUGCUGGUAACCCCGGUGCUCCUACUGUGAGACAGGAAACGGAGACAGGAGAUUCUGCCUGAAGCUUUCCAUCCGGCUAGCCUCGAGUACAACAGAGAUGCUAUCUCAGAAACGAAGUGGAAGGACAGAGUUGACCAAGAAAGUGCUCCUCUCACUUUCCUGCGAACAACUUGUUUGGUUUUUUUUUUUUGUUUGUUUUGUUUUGUUUGGUUUGGGUUUUUUCAGUUUUUGUUUUGUUUUCGGUCUUGUUUGUUUGAUUCUUUGGCAGCUAUGACACAAAGCAGAGACAUCUGGGAAGAAAGACCGUCAGUUUUAAAAACUGCCUCCACCAGAUGAGCCUGUAAGCAAGUCUGGGGGGAUGGGUUUUUUCCACUAAUGACAGUGUAGAAAGGCCUGGCCCACUGUAGGUGGCUCAUCCACUGGGCAAGGCGGUCAUGAGUUUUGAUAAAUCUCAAGGUGGGCAAGCGUUGGCAAGCAAGCCAGUGAGCCAACUUUCUUCUCUGUGGCUUUGACCUCAGUUCUCGCCUCCUGGUUCCUGCUUGAGUUUCUGCACCGGUGUUCAUGGUUUACUGCCAUGUGUGAGAGGAGCUGGACCCUCUCCUGUGAACCCUUUCUUCCCCAAGUUGUUUUACCUCAUGCUGUUCACCUCAGUAGUAGGAAGCAAGCUAGGACAUCAUGGUACACAUGCACUAUACAUACGUGCCUGCGUGUAUGUGCAUGGACACACAGAUGAGAGUAUAUAUGCGCAUGUACACACACACACACACACACACACCACAGGUUUUGUUUUUUAAGAUAAAGAACUGAGGAUCCCUGAUGUUAUCUAACCCAGUCCCUUUAUUCUAUAGCCACAAAAGUUGAAGCCUGGAGAAGCCAACUUGAUAUGGGUUAGUUGUUUUCUACUUGCCACAGCAGGUAGGUGAUGGUGUGUUGGUUUUCAUCCUAAGGAGGUGCUGCCUUAUUUAGAAUUUUACAUAGUGCAUUGAGGUCUAAACCAGAGUGGACCGGACCACCGAGAAUUGGAGGCAAAAGAGCCAGAGCCAGAAGCCAGAAGUACCCUGAGCAAAACAACUUGGGAGAAAAAUUAUUUUGGCUUGCAGUUCCAGAAGGGAGAGAGAGUCUGUCAUUUUGAGAAAACUAUGAGACCAGGCCAAGGAAGGCACGGCAGCAGGAGCAGACUGGCUGAUCAACCCGAAUCUCACUCAGAAACAGAGAGAAACAGCAAGAGGGGCUGAGCUAUAAAACCUCAAAGCCUGCCUCCAUAAGUGUAAUUCCAGUGACCUCUACCUCCUAAAGAUUGUAUAAUGUCCCCAAAUGGGAGCACCAUCUGGGGACCACGUGUGCGUAUUCAAACCACAACAGUGUCCACGGAAAGAAAAUGACUUGCUUAGAAGAAACGCCAGAUGACAGGCAGUGUGUGGACAACUGCCUGAUCUGCUAAGGAGGCGAUGAAAGUCAGGAUAUCAGAGUUCCCACAAGCUAAGGGACCCUCUCCUGUAUUUGACAGAUGUAGACAGACACACGGAGGAUUGGAGAAGUGACUCAGCAGUUAAGAGCACUUCUGGAGGACUCAGAUUCAGUUCCCAGCCCCCAAAUUGGUCUGCCCGCAACUUUCUAGAGUCCAAUUCCACAAGACCCAAUACUGUCUUUGGCCUCUGUUAGCAUCUGUACAUAACUUGUGAGCAUGUGCACAGAGACACACAUGCUCAUGAAUAAAAAUAUGACGAGAGCACAGGGAGAUCACCCGUAAGUUUUCUGUUCUCUACGUUGUCCUUCCAAAGUGUCUCCAGUCUGCUGACUUACUGUAUACAAUUGUAUACCCCUCACUGAGGAGAUGCAUUCUGAGAAAGGUGCUGGAAGGGGACCUCUCUUGUGCCAACAUCACAGAAUAUACAGACGCAAAUCUAGACGGUAUCGUUUAUUAUACACCGAUUCUACACGGCAUGUCCUAUUGCUUCUGGAAUAUAAACAUAUGUAGUGUGACUAUGGAUCCUUUAAGCAGCUAUAACACAAUGGUGAAUAUUUGUGCACGUGAACAGAUCUAGACAUUAAAAAUAGAGUAACAGUACUGGGCAACUGGAUCGUCAGUUCUCUUAUAACCAUACAGGACCACUGUCAUAUCCGUCAGUGUCGGACAUCACUGAGACAAGAAUACUUACAUUCAGGACUGAAAUGCAGAAUUCUCUACAAGCAAGCGUUGCGGUUAGAAUGGUCAAGUUUUAUUCCAGUAGCCCUGAUUUCAGUUUCCUCUAAAAAAUAAACAGACUGUGCUGUUUGUUUUUAGACAUUAUUUUUUUUUUUU